rnacentral:rRNA from 1 species
AGUGAACGCUGGCGGUAGGCCUAACACAUGCAAGUCGAACGGCAGCACAGUAAGAGCUUGCUCUUACGGGUGGCGAGUGGCGGACGGGUGAGGAAUACAUCGGAAUCUACUUUUUCGUGGGGGAUAACGUAGGGAAACUUACGCUAAUACCGCAUACGACCUACGGGUGAAAGCAGGGGAUCUUCGGGCCUUGCGCGAUUGAAUGAGCCGAUGUCGGAUUAGCUAGUUGGCGGGGUAAAGGCCCACCAGGGCGACGAUCCGUAGCUGGUCUGAGAGGAUGAUCAGCCACACUGGAACUGAGACACGGUCCAGACUCCUACGGGAGGCAGCAGUGGGGAAUAUUGGACAAAGGGCGCAAGCCUGAUCCAGCCAUACCGCGUGGGUGAAGAAGGCCUUCGGGUUGUAAAGCCCUUUUGUUGGGAAAGAAAAGCAGCAGGUUAAUACCCCGCUGUUCUGACGGUACCCAAAGAAUAAGCACCGGCUAACUUCGUG